GACAGAGGAUGCAAGCGUUAUCCGGAAUGAUUGGGCGUAAAGCGUCUGUAGGUGGCUUUUUAAGUCUGCCGUCAAAUCCCAGGGCUUAACCCUGGACAGGCGGUGGAAACUACCAAGCUGGAGUACGGUAGGGGCAGAGGGAAUUUCUGGUGUAGCGGUGAAAUGCGUAGAGAUCAGGAAGAACAUCGGUGGCGAAGGCGCUCUGCUGGACCAUAACUGACACUCAGGGACGAAAGCUAGGGGAGCGAAUGGG
rnacentral:rRNA from 1 species